rnacentral:ncRNA from 1 species
UAUCAAGGGGUGCUCACGUGUUCGUGGGCUGAGAUGAUACCCUCUACCUGAUACGGGUAAUGCCGACGUAGGGAUUGAUAAAU